GUUUUUUGUGAUUGUAAAAUCUAGGUAAUUUUCAGAGGACAAAUUGAAUGUUUUGAGGGUUAAGUCGGAGGUAAUCUGUAGGGGAGAGAAUGGACGUGUUGGAGUAAAAACAAGGUUAUCAGUAGUGGGCAGGAAGGAAGGGUUUUGGGGGUAAAACUUGAGGGGAGGGCAUGAACAUUUUGAGAUAAAAUUAAGGUAACCGGAGUGGACGGGAAGAAGAAAUUGUGGGGGUAAAAUCUGAGUUAAUCAGUAGGGGAGAGGAGUGACAUAUUGAGGUAAAACCAAAGCUGUUUGUCAGUAGUGGAUAGGAAGGGAAAUUGUGGGGCUAAAACUUAAGAUAAUCUCUAGGGGAGAGAAUGGAUGUAUUGAGGAAAAAACGAGGUAAUCACUAGUGACAGGGAAAAAUCUGGGGGAAAAACUUCAGGUCAUUUGUAAGGAAAAAGCAUUUUGCAGGAAAAAUCUGAUUGAAUCUUUAGGGCCAGAAUGGACAAUUUGGGGAUAAGGUAAAUGUAGCCAUUGGAUUUUCAUGCUGGUACAAUCUAGGUAGUUAUCAGGGACAAAAUUCAUAUUCUAGGUGUGAAAUCUGAGGUGAUCUGUAGGGGAGAGAAUGAAGAUUUUGAGGUAAACAGGUAAUCAGUAGUGGACACAUUUUUUGAGGGGUUGAGCUUGAAAUAAUCUGUGGGAGUCAGGUGCCUUUCAGGAGCCUCCCUGUGAAGAGCCAAGGCGCUGUCUCUGGGAGCGGUGGUGUGGAAAUACCCGUCUGGACUUUCCCUGCACCCAGGAAAGAGCCAAAAAGGAAAAGCUGGACGAGGGAGACAGCAGGGUGUAUCUCCAAGGGAUGAAUCUGAAAGACGUUUGGUCCUGCUCCCAAGGGAUGUCUUUAUGCCUGCUCCCGUGUUGGCAGACCCGAGGCUGCUGUUUGCAUCUCUAGCAGCAGACAGAUCAGGUGAGAUCAAGGAGACCAUAUUUCCAUGUUUCCUUGCUUAGCUUACACUGUUAAAAGUGAGUUGUUGUUAGGAGGAAACAGAGCAUGUAAUAACUUGAGUUGGGUUUUAUUUGGCUUUGAGUCAUAAAUCUUAAAGGAAAGGAAAGAGCCAUCAUGUUCAUCCCCAAGUUUGUCAUACAAUCAGCAAGGGGCAAGGCAGUAGUGUGGG
rnacentral:lncRNA from 1 species